rnacentral:rRNA from 1 species
CCUACGGGAGGCAGCAGUGGGGAAUAUUGGGCAAUGGGCGCAAGCCUGACCCAGCAACGCCGCGUGAAGGAAGAAGGCUUUCGGGUUGUAAACUUCUUUUCUGGGGGACGAACAAAUGACGGUACCCCAGGAAUAAGCCACGGCUAACUACGUGCCAGCAGCCGCGGUAAUACGUAGGAGGCAAGCGUUAUCCGGAUUUAUUGGGGGUAAAGGGCGGGUAGGCGGGAAUGCAAGUCAGAUGUGAAAACUCAGGGCUCAACCCUGAGCCUGCAUUUGAAACUGUGUUUCGUGAGUGCUGGAGAGGCAAUCGGAAUUCCGUGUGUAGCGGUGAAAUGCGUAGAUAUACGGAGGAACACCAGUGGCGAAGGCGGAUUGCUGGACAGUAACUGACGCUGAGGCGCGAAAGCGUGGGGAGCAAACAGGAUUAGAUACCCCAGUAGUC